UACGGAGGGGGCUAGCGUUGUUCGGAAUUACUGGGCGUAAAGCGCUCGUAGGCGGCUUUGUAAGUUAGAGGUGAAAGCCCGGAGCUCAACUCCGGAAUUGCCUCUGAGACUGCAUCGCUAGAAUUGUGGAGAGGUAAGUGGAAUUCCGAGUGUAGAGGUGAAAUUCGUAGAUAUUCGGAAGAACACCAGUGGCGAAGGCGACUUACUGGACACAUAUUGACGCUGAGGUGCGAAAGCGUGGGGAGCAAACAGG
rnacentral:rRNA from 1 species